rnacentral:rRNA from 1 species
GACGAACGCUGGCUGCGUGCUUAACACAUGCAAGUCGAACGAAGUGGCGAACGCGUGAGUACUACGUGUGUAACCUGCCCUCCUUUUUGGGAUAAGCCUUGGAAACGGGGUCUAAUACCGAAUAAAGGGGGCUGGGCUCGCGGCCUAUCAGCUUGUUGGGGGGGGGAUGGCCUACCAAGGCGGUGACGGGUAUCCGGCCUGAGAGGAUGAACAGCCAAAAUGGAACUGAGAAACGGUCCAGACGCCUACGGGAGGCAGCAGGGGGGAAUAUUGCACAAUGGGCGGAAGGCUGAUGCAGCCAUGGCGCGUGUGUGAAGAAGGCCUUCGGGUUGUAAAGCACGUUCAGCGAGGAGACGUUACUCGCAGAAGAAGCACCGGCGAACUCAGUGCCAGCAGCCGCGGUAAUUC